UACAGAGGGUGCAAGCGUUGUCCGGAAUCACUGGGCGUAAAGGGCGCGUAGGCGGCCCUCUUAGUCGCGUGUGAAAGCCCCGGGCUCAACCUGGGAACGGCGCGCGAAACGGGAGGGCUGGAGUUCGGGAGAGGAGAGUGGAAUUCCCAGUGUAGAGGUGAAAUUCGUAGAUAUUGGGAAGAACACCGGUGGCGAAGGCGGCUCUCUGGACCGAGACUGACGCUGAGGCGCGAAAGCGUGGGGAGCAAACAGG
rnacentral:rRNA from 1 species